rnacentral:pre_miRNA from 1 species
CUUAUACUCCCUCCGUCCGGAAAUACUUGUCAUCAAAAUAAAUAAAAGGGGAUGUAUCUAGAUGUAUUUUAGUUCUAGGUACAUCUCUUUUUGUCCAUUUUAAUGACAAGUAUUUUCGGACGGAGGGAGUAUUUG